GAAAUGCGAUAAGUAAUGUGAAUUGCAGAAUUCCGUGAAUCAUCGAAUCUUUGAACUCACAUUGCGCCCUCUGGCAUUCCGGGGGGGAUGCCUGUCCGAGCGUCAUUACGCACCCUCAAGCCCGGCUUGUGUGAUGGGCCCCGGCGUCUCGUUCGCGAGACGGGCCCGAAAGGCAGCGGCGGCGUCGACCCGAUGAGCCCGAGCGUAUGGGGACUUCUGUCACACGUUCGCGGUGCGGACCGGCGCCUGCUUGACUUUUCUGAUUAUCCAGGUUGACCUCGGAUCAGGUAGGGAUACCCGCUGAACUUAAGC
rnacentral:misc_RNA from 1 species